rnacentral:rRNA from 1 species
GAAAGUAACUAAGGGCGUAUGGCGGAUGCCUAGGCUCACGGAGGCGAUGAAGGACGUGAUAAGCUGCGAUAAGCUUUGGGUAGGUGCAAAUGACCUUUGAUCCAGAGAUUUCCGAAUGGGACAACCCAGCACUCUGAAGGAGUGCUAUCCUGAUUUUCGUUCAGGAGGCUAACGCAGGGAACUGAAACAUCUUAGUACCUGCAGGAAAAGAAAAUAAUUUAAUGAUUCCCCCAGUAGUGGCGAGCGAACGGGGAAGAGCCCAAACCCACGACGUAGCAAUGCGCCGUGGGGGUUGUAGGACCACGUUGUCGUACUCUGAUUGUGAGGAGAACGUUCUGGAAAGAACGACCGUAGCGGGUGACAGUCCCGUAUCCGAAGCAUGAUGAGGCGUAGUGUCAUCCUGAGUAGCGCGGAACACGAGUAAUUCUGCGUGAAUCUGCCGGGCCCAUCCGGUAAGGCUAAAUACUCCCGUGAGACCGAUAGUGAAGUUAGUACCGUGAGGGAAAGGUGAAAAGCACUCCUAUUAGGAGAGUGAAAUAGUUCCUGAAACCAUACGCCUACAAGCGGUCGGAGCAUAUUUUUGUAUGUGACGGCGUGCCUUUUGCAUAAUGAACCUACGAGUUACCAUGCCCAGCGAGGUUAAGGGGUUCAGCCCCGUAUCCGCAGUGAAAGCGAGCCUGAACAGGGCGUUUAGUUGGGUGGGGUAGACGCGAAACCAAGUGAUCUACACUUGACCAGGUUGAAGUUCCGGUAACACGGAAUGGAGGACCGCACGGAUAAGCGUUGAAAAGCUUCCCGAUGAGUUGAGUGUAGGAGUGAAAGGCCAAUCAAACUUGGAGAUAGCUCGUACUCCCCGAAAGGCAUUUAGGUGCCGCGUGCGAUGUUCUCCGUGAGAGGUAGAGCGACCGAUAGGUCAAGAGGGCUUCACCGCCUAUCGAGACCUGACGAACUCCGAAUGCUCACGGACUGUAGUCGUGCAGUAAGGGGGCGGGUGCUAAGGUCCGUCCCCGAGAGGAGAAGAAUCCUGACCGUCGUCUAAGGUCCCCAAAUUCUGUCUAAGUUAGUCUAACGAAGUCUGGUCCCGGUGACAGCUAGGAUGUUGGCUUGGAAGCAGCCAUUCAUUCAAAGAGUGCGUAACAGCUCACUAGUCGAGGGUCCGGGCGUGGAUAAUAAUCGGGUAUGAAGUCAGAUACCGAAGGCGCGGGAUAGCAAUGUAUAUUAAAAGUAUCGGUAGGGGAGCAUUCCAUAUGCGUUGAAUGGUGAUGGUGAUUGAUCCUGGAGCGUAUGGAAAAGCAAAUGUAGGUAUAAGUAACGAUAAAGGGGGUAAGAUUCCCCCUCGCCGUAAGACUAAGGUUUCCCGGGCGAUGCCAAUCAUCCCGGGGUUAGUCGGGUCCUAAGUCUCAGCCGAACGGCGAUGGCGAUGGCAGACACGGUCAAUAUUCCGUGACUUGCCCAUUCAGCGAUGUGGAGACGGAGCAGUGACACUGUCGCGCCCUUACGGAUAUGGGCGUUGAAGGCUUUAGGCUAUGAUGGGUGCAGGCAAAUCCACACCCUGAGCUGAUGGUCGAUAGUACGGUUUUCCCCUCGGGGCGAACCGAUAGCACAGGUAAUCAUACUUCCAAGAAAAUCCGCUAAGCUCAAUGUUUGGGCAACCCGUACCGCAAACGGACACACGUAGUCGGGUAGAACAUACUAAGGCGUUGAGAGAUUCAUGGUUAAGGAACUAGGCAAACUGACCCCGUAACUUCGGGAUAAGGGGUCCUCGUUUUUUACGAGGCGCAGAGAAUAGGUCCAGGCAACUGUUUAACAAAAACACAGGGCUGUGCUAACUCGAGAGAUGAUGUAUACAGCCUGACACCUGCCCGGUGCUGGAAGGUUAAGAGGAGAGCUCAGACUUUUGUCGAAGGUUUGAAUUGAAGCCCCAGUAAACGGCGGCCGUAACUAUAACGGUCCUAAGGUAGCGAAAUUCCUUGUCGGGUAAG